UGAUGCGGUCAUAUGAGGGCUACUACACCGGAUCCCAUCAGAACUUUGUAGUUAAGCUUCCUUGGGCCGGAAUAGUAUGUUGGAUGACCUCUCGGGAAGUCCCGGUGCCGCAUCCA
rnacentral:rRNA from 1 species